UACAGAGGGUGCAAGCGUUGUUCGGAAUUACUGGGCGUAAAGCGCGUGUAGGUGGCGAUGUAAGUCGGGUGUGAAAUCCCUUGGCUUAACCAAGGAAGUGCAUUCGAUACUGUGUCGCUUGAGUACCGGAGGGGAUGGCGGAAUUCCCGGUGUAGAGGUGAAAUUCGUAGAUAUCGGGAGGAACACCUGUGGCGAAGGCGGCCAUCUGGACGGUCACUGACACUGAGACGCGAAAGCGUGGGUAGCAAACAGG
rnacentral:rRNA from 1 species